rnacentral:rRNA from 1 species
UACGGGGAGGGCAAGCGUUGUUCGGAAUUACUGGGCGUAAAGGGCUCGUAGGUGGCCAACUAAGUCAGACGUGAAAUCCCCAGGCUCAACUUGGGAACUGCGUCUGAUACUGGAUGGCUUGAAUUCGGGAGAGGGAUGCAGAAUUCCAGGUGUAGCGGUGAAAUGCGUAGAUAUCUGGAGGAAUACCGGUGGCGAAGGCGGCAUCCUGGACCGAGAUUGACACUGAUGAGCGAAAGCCAGGGGAGCAAACGGG